UUUAGAUAAGCUAGGAGGAAUUUUUUCACUCAAAUGGUGGUUAGGCACUGGAACAGGUUGCCCAGAGAAGCUGUGGAUGCCCCAUCCCUGGAAGUGUUCAAGGCCAGGUUGGAUGGGGCUUUGGGCAACCUGAUCU